GCUCGGUGCACUUUUCCGCAAGCGAUCCGUACAAGCUGAUCGAUGCGGCGAAGGCCUCAGGCGUGAAACGCUAUCUGGUGGUCGGUGGUGCCGGCAGUCUCGAAGUCGCGCCCGGCGUGACGCUGGUUUCCACGCCGGAAUUCCCGGCGGCUUACAAGGAUGAAGCCACCAAGGGCGGUGAAUUCCUCGCGCUGCUGCGGCAGGAGAGGGAACUCGACUGGACGUUCCUCUCGCCG
rnacentral:misc_RNA from 1 species